CCUAUAAGACUGGGAUAACUUCGGGAAACCGGAGCUAAUACCGGAUAACAUUUGGAACCGCAUGGUUCUAAAGUGAAAGAUGGUUUUGCUAUCACUUAUAGAUGGACCCGCGCCGUAUUAGCUAGUUGGUAAGGUAACGGCUUACCAAGGCGACGAUACGUAGCCGACCUGAGAGGGUGAUCGGCCACACUGGAACUGAGACACGGUCCAGACUCCUACGGGAGGCAGCAGUAGGGAAUCUUCCGCAAUGGGCGAAAGCCUGACGGAGCAACGCCGCGUGAGUGAUGAAGGGUUUCGGCUCGUAAAACUCUGCUAUUAGGGAAGAACAAAUGUGUAAGUAACUAUGCACAUCUUGACGGUACCUAAUCAGAAAGCCACGGCUAACUACGUGCCAGCAGCCGCGGUAAUACGUAGGUGGCAAGCGUUAUCCGGAAUUAUUGGGCGUAAAGCGCGCGUAGGCGGUUUCUUAAGUCUGAUGUGAAAGCCCACGGCUCGACCGUGGAGGGUCAUUGGAAACUGGGAAACUUGAGUGCAGAAGAGGAAAGUGGAAUUCCAUGUGUAGCGGUGAAAUGCGCAGAGAUAUGGAGGAACACCAGUGGCGAAGGCGACUUUCUGGUCUGUAACUGACGCUGAUGUGCGAAAGCGUGGGGAUCAAACAGGAUUAGAUACCCUGGUAGUCCACGCCGUAAACGAUGAGUGCUAAGUGUUAGGGGGGUUUCCGCCCCUUAGUGCUGCAGCUAACGCAUUAAGCACUCCGCCUGGGGAGUACGACCGCAAGGUUGAAACUCAAA
rnacentral:rRNA from 1 species